rnacentral:lncRNA from 1 species
UAUUUUCCUGAGACAGCCAGUUUUGCAGAUUAGCCCCUCUAGAUCAUGCAUUUAAUAACUCAUGAACCGUGCAUCGGAUUAAAAUGAACUAUAUAUGAAACUUGCUCGGAAUUUUGUGUAGAUUAAUAAUAUCCAACUUUCACCUAUGUUUGAAAUGUCUAAAAUGAUGUUUGAUUAAAUUUGCCCCUAUGCCAUGCUAAAAUGAUUUAAUUCAUUACUAAAUAUCCGUAACUCCGAAUUUAAUAAUCUUUAUAUGUAAAUGGGGUAGAAUUUUGCCUAGUUUAACAUGGUGGCAUCAUCUUGCAUGUCUAAUAACUCUAAAAUUGUGUUUAGGACAGAUCAGGACCAAACCUAAAAUAUGCUAUGGGGAGUUUCCGGAAUUGUUGUUCGUUGCUUCCGGCCUCAUUUAACCUUGACUAGAUAGGUAGUUUUGCUUCGCUUCACCCUCUUGCCAUGUUUAACAACAUUUAAUAUUGUGGGUACAUAACCGAGAGAGAACUAAAUAAUUGAUGUGGUGUUUUGUCAAUAUGCAUCCCGAUGCAUAUUGAGCUCCACUUAAUUUGUAGGAUUGUUUGUGCUCUUUGCCAUGCCAUGCAUAUUUAAUCCGGACAUGCAUCAUACUCGUUUGUGCAUCAUGCCAUGUUGAUGUCAUGGUUGUUUACUAUGUUGUGUGCUUCCUUUCCGGUGAUUGCUUCUUCGGGUUGGUUCCGGUAACGUCGUGUUGUGAGGACCGUUCAUCUACGUCCGUUUGUCUUCUUCAUGGACUCGUUCUUCUUCCUUACGGGAUUUCAGGCAAGAUGAUCAUACCCUCGAAAUCAAUACUAUCUUUGCUAUGCUAGUUUGCUCGCUCUUUUGCUUUGCCAAUGCUAUGAUGCCUACCACUUGCUUGUCAGCCUCCCAAUUGCCAUGAUUGAGCCUCUAACCCACCUUUGUCCUAGCAAACCGUUGAUUGGCUAUGUUACCGCUUUGCUCAGCCCCUCUCUUAUAGCGUUGUUAGUCGCAGGUGAAGAUUGAAGUUUGUUCCUUGUUGGAACAUGGAGAUGUUGUUCCUUGUUGGGACAUUUAUUUACUUGUUGGGAUAUCACCAUAUAUCUUAUUUAAUUAAUGCAUCUAUAUACUUGGUAAAGGGUGGAAGGCUCGGCCUUAUGCCUGGUGUUUUGUUCCACUCUUGCCGCCCUAGUUUCCGUCAUAUCGGUGUUAUGUUCCCGGUUUUUGCGUCCCUUACGCGGUUGGGCUAUAAUGGGAACCCCUUGACAGUUCGCCUUAAGUAAAGCUUCUCCAGCAAUGCCCAACAUUGGUUUUACCUUUUUCCACCUAGCCUUUUCUUUCCCUUGGGUUCUGCAGACUCAAGGGUCAUUGUUAUUUUACCCCCCGGGCCAGUGCUCCUCUGAGUGUUGGUCCAAACUAGAGUCCUGUGCAGCGCCCCCUCGGGGAAACUCGAGGUUUGGUUUUAGUUGUAUGGAGCGCUCAUCUGAGUGUGCCCUGAGAAAGAGAUAUGUGCAGCUCCUAUCGGGAUUUGUCGGCACAUUCGGGCGGUGUUGCUGGUUUAGUUUUACCCUGUCGAAAUGUCUUGUUGUACUGGGAUACCGAGUCUGAUCGGAAUGUCUCGGGUGGAGGUCUAUUCCUUCGUUGACCGUGAGAGCUUGUUAUGGGCUAAGUUGGGACACCCCUGCAGGGAUUGAUCUUUCGAAAGCCGUGCCCACGGUUAUGGGCAGAUGGGAAUUUGUUAGCGUCCGGUUGUAGAUAACCUGAAGUUGACCUUAAUUAGAAUGAAUCAACCGCGUGUGUAACCGUGAUGGUCUCUUUCCGGCGGAGUCCGGGAAGUGAACACGGUUGUUGGAGUUAUGCUUGACGUAGGUAGUCCAGGAUCACUUCUUGAUCAUACUUUUAUCGACCGUGCUUUGCCUUCUCUUCUCGCUCUCAUUUGCGUAUGUUAGCCACCAUAUAUGCUAGUCGCUUGCUGCAGCUCCACCUCAUACCUUUACCUUACCCAUAAGCUUAAAUAGUCUUGAUCGCGAGGGUGCGAGAUUGCUGAGUCCCCGUGGCUCACAGAUACUUCCAAAACCAGCUUGCAGGUGCCGAUGAGUCCGUGCAGAUGACGCAACCCAGCUCAGGAGGAGCUUGAUGAAGAUCUUGUCCUUUGUGUUGUUUCGUGCUAGUUGAUCAGUAGUGGAGCCCAGUUGGGGUCGAUCGGGGACCUUUGUCGCAUUUGGGGUUCUUCUUUUAUUUUGGUUCCGUAGUCGGACCAUGAGUGUAUUUGAUUGAUGUAAUGCUAUUUAUGUACCUUGAUGUGACGUGGCGAGUGUAAGCCGACUAUUAUUAUUAUUUCCCCUUUAUAUUUAUAUGUACAUGGGUUGUGUGAAGAUUGCCUCACUUGCGACAUAUGCCUUCAAUGCGAUUAUGCCUCUAAGUCGUGCCUCGACACGUAGGAUAUAUAGUCGCAUCGAGGGUGUUGCAAGACCGCAUAACAACAUACGUUGUUCCCUUUGUCAUCGGUAUGUUACUUGCCCGAGAUUCGAUCGUCGGUAUCCAAUACCUAGUUCAAUCUCGUUACUGGCAAGUCUCUUUACUCGUUCCGUAAUACAUCAUCUCACAACUAACAUAUUAGUUGUAAUGCUUGCAAGGCUUAUGUGAUGUGUAUUACCGAGAGGGCCCAGAGAUACCUCUCCGACAAUCGGAGUGACAAAUCCUAAUCUCGAAAUACGCCAACCCAACAUCUACCUUUGGAGACACCUGUAAUGCUCCUUUAUAAUCACCCAGUUACGUUGUGACGUUUGGUAGCACCCAAAGUGUUCCUCCGGCAAACGGGAGUUGCAUAAUCUCAUAGUCAUAGGAACAUGUAUAAGUCAUGAAGAAAGCAAUAGCAACAUACUAAACGAUCGGGUGCUAAGCCAAUGGAAUGGGUCAUGUCAAUCAGAUCAUUCAACUAAUGAUGUGACCUCGUUAAUCAAAUAACAACUCUUUGUUCAUGGUUAGGAAACAUAACCAUCUUUGAUUAACGAGCUAGUCUAGUAGAGGCAUACUAGUGACACUCUGUUUGUCUAUGUAUUCACACAUGUAUUAUGUCUCCGGUUAAUACAAUUCUAGCAUGAAUAAUAAACAUUUAUCAUGGUAUAAGGAAAUAAAUAAUAACUUUAUUAUUGCCUCUAGGGCAUACUUCCUUCAGCGGUAGUGUGGUUGGUUCCUGAAAAAUGUCAGCAAAUUCUUCCAGAAGUGCUUGUAACUGAGGAGGCCUGGAGUCAUCAGAGGAUUCGGAUUUUUGUUCAUGUUGAAUGACUGCAAGUGCCCACACUUCAUUGCCCUGAAUCCAUUUAUACAGCUGAUCCGCAUGCAUCUCAGUAAGUGCAGGCUCUGUCGGAGUACGCACGCCUUGCAACUUGAUGUUCAUAUUGGCUUGUCUGAAUUCCAUGGUUUUGAGUCCCCAAUGACAGUUCAUAGGACUGAAUUGAGCGAGCCAAUCGAGUCCCAAAACUGCAUCAUAAGCGCCAAGCUCAAGCAACCGCGUAUCAGUGCUGAAAGUGUGGCCCUGACACCACCACUGUAAUUGAGACACUUGUUGCUUGGACUGCAGGGUUUCUCCGUUGGCUACCCUCACUAUGACAGGAUCGACGUCCUGAAUUUUACAGCCGGCACGCUCUGCAAACGCUGAAUUCACAAACGUGUGGGUACUGCCCGAAUCCACCAGCAACAACAUUACCUGAUUGCCAACUAAUGCUCUUAACCUCAUUGUACCCGACGACUCCGUUCCCGCGACGGCAUGCAUGGAAAUUUGACAACAAACUGCUUCUUCUUUUGUAUUUUCAUCCAGCAACUCCAGAGCACGUAUGGCAUCAUCCGAUAGAAGCUCACCAUGAUCGCCAACCUCAAUGGUCAGAAGCUGACCCACCUUGUUACACUUGUGUUCCCGGGAAUACUUAUCGCCGCACUUAAAACACAGGCCAUUGGCUCGCCUGAAUUCCCGCAGUUGUCGUUCGCGGCCAAAAUCAUCCGGGCCACGCUUAGCACCAUCAAUGCGGGGUUGUACUGGUCCAGGAGCCAUUGCAGGCACCGGGGGUGGAGGAAUGGCGUGAGUAUACACCGGUGGGCGACCCCGCGGCUUACUGUGUUCAGAUUCUUCCUCCUGAAUCCGAGCAAGUGCCGCUGCCCUGGAAACGCUCGUCGGUGCGUGCAGGCGCACUCCUGUGCGGACCUCAUCCUUGAGACCGAUGAUGAACUGUGAGACAAAGAAUUUCUGAUUUAAGGAUGGGUCCAGAGCAAUCAGAUGGUACAUAAUUGCCUCAAAGGAGAGUCUGUAUUCAGAAACAGUGGAGGUCUGCUUGAGAUGAUGUAGGCGAUGCAGCAAAGCAUCGAAUUCAUCCUGACCAAAUUCAGUCUUCACUGCCUCCAUGAAUGAGAACCAAUCCCCCAAACCAUGCACACGCUUGUACGCCUGACACCAGAGAGCGGCGUGGCCUUCCAUGUACAACACUGCCGUGGCAACCCACUGCUCUGGUGGCAUUUGAUACAGAUCGAAGUAAGUAUGGCAGAGGUCAAACCAGAGCCGUGUCGCGUCGCCACUGAACCGGGGGAAGUCAUGCUUCGGCGGUUUGUGACGGUAGUUGCCACGCGGGGACUGCGGUGGCGAGACUUGACGGUCCUGGUGCUCAUCACGACGACCAGGAGCAAGGGGUGGGCGCGGCGGAACGUUGAGGAGUGGGGGUCCCUUGUUGACCAACAACGCCGCAGUGUGCAUGGUGGAGGAUGAAGGAGCCGCCCGCGUCGCGGCGGCCGUGGCCUGUGUUCGCUUGACCGCAUCCAAUCCCUCGCCAAAAUCGGCCACCUGAGUGCUCAGUUGGUGGACCUCGGUCGAGAGCGACGAAAAUUUGGAGAGUAAUUCCUCCAGGGUCUUUUGUACUCCCUCCAUGGCUUGGAGCACGAACUUGGUCUGGACCGACGGAGUCGACGACGGCGCCGUCGCGGCCACCCCAAAUCAAGCCUACCCCACUCAGGAUUUUGCGUCAGAUCGCCGAAGCAACCCACCACCUUUCGCGGUGGAUUUUACGGCCGGAUUGAGAGAGAGAGGCGUGGCGGCAGAUCGUAACGAGCCUCUGAUACCAAGUUGUAAUGACCCUCGCGGAUCGAACAGAGAGGAAGAAGGGAUCGAGAGGGAGGAAGAACUUGAGGGAGAAGAAAGGGGAUGAGAGCUGGGGAAGAAGAUCGAGAAGGGUUCAGAAUAUUCGAUUUCAAUCGUCGCCUGGCCUCUGGCCGCACACCCGCUUAUAUCUCUCUCGGUGGCCUAGUGCCCCACAUGUCAUACACACACACCUACACAGAGACUAGUCUUCCCUCACUGGCUGUGGCCCCUUUUGUUCUCCUCAGGUCGUCGCACCAGCAGUGCCUCACUGUCCGCCUUCUCCACUGUUGUGGCAGCAGGGGAGGAGGGCGUGACAGCUGUUUAAUUCUUCCACUCCCAAGAUGAACUAUAAAUAUGGGCAUAUCAUACUUCUGCGAAAUAAGAGGGUUACAAUUAUGUUUUUUUAGCUUAAACUAUGUUUUUUAGGGAGCUUGCAUACUCACUUUUUUGUCGGAUAUGGGGACGCUAGGACGCGUCCGUCAUGUCGGUCUAAUGGGCUAGGCCCGCACCAAAACCCAUCGGUUCGACAGGCGCCUCCUUUGGUUUUGGUGAGGACGCAUUCAUGUCGCUGCUCCGGUGCCCGGCGCCAAAACCCAUUGAUCUGAUAGGCGCCUCCUCCGGUUUAGGUGAGGACGCAUUCAUGUCACCGCUCCGGCGCAGGGCCCGAGGGACUAAAUCAGGCUAUUAAACUGGACGACGAGGCAAAGCAAGCUUGUCCCUAUCCACCCAGUAUGUGUCGCCGUUGCCACUUCCUCUCCCUCUUCCACUUCCAAUCCGAGGUGACAUACUACAAGCUGCUGACACCGGAGCGCUGGACAGAGAUCCAGGCAAGAUGCGCACCUCAAGCAUUAUGAUCCGCCUUACUUCGGACAAGGAGGUGCCGGACGAGGAGAUGGAAGAGGCGAAGCAGGGGGAGGAAGAGCCGCCGUCGUACAAGGAGGAGGCAUCGAUGUCGGAACAAGUCGAAUUCGGCAUGGCAGACGUGUUGGUGGAGUUUGAGCUUAACCAAGCGGAGGAGGUGGCGGACAAUAGGCCAUUCUCGAGUUCAUCCAGUCUAAGGCGGAGAUGAUGACGAAGGGCGAACUGUCACUUCCUCCAUGGAGUCUGAGCAGCUUUUCACGGAUGAGGACGACAAAGAGUAGAGGUCAAUGUUUCGCCCGGCCUCCAAUGACCACAAGGCCGGUGCCUCCGGUAAGGAGGUCGUCAACAUUUUCGAUGACAAGUAGUUUAGUUUGCUACUUUGUUUAUGUACUUAGAACAAAUAGAUGUUGCACAUUGUAUGAAAAUGGGGAUAUGAAAAUGAGGAGUGUGGUUGCAAUGUGUGAAAAGUGAACGGUGACUGACACUAUCGUCUGACAUGUGGAGUCUCACUUUUGAUAGGUCCGGUUGUAGAUGCUUUGACUAUGUUUGGGACAUUUCAAUAUGUCUGUAUGCCACAUAAAUGAUCACCAAUACAUCAAAUGAAUCUACUGACAUGCAAAUAAAAAUCUUGACCAUCCGAGAAUAUUUCACCUUACUUGAACAGGAUCUGUUCUAUAAAAUUGUAAUGUUACAUCCUUUAUCAAUAAAUAUAAGUAUUUGAGAUGGAACCGAGAAAUUCUCGUGACUACAAGGAUUAGCUCCGUGCUCCUGCCACCCUGACACACUGCUACAAUCGAGGGAGAGGAACCUCAUUCCCUCCCUGCCCAAACAAACGACACCAACUUUGGUGAUACGCAUCUUCAACACCGACCCCCAAACCACCUGCACAUGUUUGAACCGUGUUGUCCGGACCAGGAAGUCAUUCAACGCGGGCCUGUAUCGGUCCGCAAGACGGUCCAGAUACACUUUUUCCCGUAAAUUGAAGACAAAGUGGGGGAGCUUUGUGGGAGUCCGGACAACAGACACGUAGGAUUCCGACACCACCGGCCCACCCAAUCCCCCUCCCGGUCCCAUUUUCUUUCACUCAACCCCUUCUUCCCCUUGCUUUUCAUCCGUACCAUCCACCUCGUCCGUCGCUGUUGUAUGCCUCGGGCUGCCACAGAGACAUUGCCGGACGUUCGCAACUAGCACCGACGUGCCCGCUCACCUCUACGACGGCGCUACACCCUGGAGCCGUUUGUACCUAGGUACACUCCGCCCCCUGUCGACGACCUCCAUUGUGGAUAGUGUUGGAAAUAUGCCCUAGAGGCAAUAAUACUGUAUUAUUAUAUUUUUAUUAUUUAUAAUUAAGAGUUUAUAUUUCAUGCUAUAACUGCUAUGAUCCUGAAAUAUGUGAUUCAGUGGAAAACUCAUAUGCAUGUGUGAAAUGACAAACGGUAAACAAUAGGUUCCUAGUCUCGCCUCUAAGACUGGGUCAAGUGUUGUUGGUGACCACGUUUUCUGGAUCUUAGAAUAUCGUUGAGUGUAAUGAUAGUCCUAAAACAACAUUGAGGGUAUGACGUUACAAGAACAAUCAUAUUGAAUCGACCCAAACUUGUGUUGGGGAACGCAGUAAUUUCAAAAAAAAUUCCUACGCACACACAAGAUCUAUCAUGGUGAUGCAUAGCAAUGAGAGGGGAAGAGUGUUGUCCACGCACCCUCAUAGACCGUAAGCGGAAGCGUUAUGACAACGCGGUUGAUGUAGUCGUACGUCUUCACGAUCCGAGUACCGAAAGUACGGCACCUCCGUGAUCUGCACACGUUCGGCUCGGUGACGUCCCACGAACUCUCGAUCCAGCCGAGUCUCGAGGGAGAGUUUCGUCAGCACGAGGCGUGAUGACGGUGAUGAUGAAGCUACCGUCGCAGGGCUUCGCCUAAGCACUACGAUGAUACGACCGAGGUGGAUUAUGGUGGAGGGGGCACCGCACACGCCUAAGGGAUCAAUGAUCAACUUGUGUGUUCUAGGGUGGCCCCUGUCCCGUAUAUAAAGAAGCAAGGGGGGAGGCCGGCCGGCCCUUGGGGCGCGCCAAGGAGGGGAGGAGUCCUCCUCCUAGUAGGAGUAGGACUCCCCCUUUCCUAGUCCAACUAGGAAGAGGAAGGGGGAAGGAAGGAGAGGAGAAGGGAGAAGGAAAGGGGGGCGCCGCCCCCCUAUUCCCUAGUCCAAUCCGGACUAGAGGGGGAGGGGUGCACGGCCCUGCCUUGGCUGACCCUCUUUCUCUCCACUAAGGCCCAUGUUGGCCCAUUAGAUCCCCCGGGGGUUCCGAUAACCCCCCGGCACUCCGAUAAUUAUCCGAUGAUCCCCGGAAGUCAUCCGGUGUCCGAAUAUAGUCAUCCAAUAUAUCAAACUUUAUGUCUUGACUAUUUCGAGACUCCUCGUCAUGUCCGUGAUCAUAUCCGGGACUCUGAACUACCUUUGGUACAUCAAAACACAUAAACUCAUAAUACCGAUCGUCACCAAACGUUAAGCGUGCGGACCCUAUGGGUUCGAGAACUAUGUAGACAUGACCGAGACACGUUUCCGGUCAAUAACCAAUAGUGGAACUUGGAUGUUCAUAUUGGCUCGCACAUAUUCUACGAAGAUAUUUAUCGAUCAACCGCAUAAAGAUAUACGUUGUUCCCUUUGUCAUCGGUAUGUUACUUGCCCGAGAUUCGAUCGUCGGUAUCUCAAUACCUAGUUCAAUCUCGUUACCGGCAAGUCUCUUUACUCGUUCCGUAAUGCAUCAUCCUGUAACUAACUCAUUAGUCACAUUGCUUGCAAGGCUUAUAGUGAUGUGCAUUACCGAGAGGGCCCAGAGAUACCUCUUCGAUACUCGGAGUGACAAAUCCUAAUCUCGAUCUAUGCCAACUAAACAAACACCAUCGAAGACACCUGUAGAGCAUCUUUAUAGUCACCCAGUUAUGUUGUGACGUUUGAUAGCACACUAAGUGUUCCUCCGGUAUUCGGGAGUUGCAAGAUCUAAUAGUCAUAGGAAAAUGUAUAAGUUAUGGAGAAAGCAAUAGCAACAAACUAAACGAUCAUCGUGUUAAGCUAACGGAUGGGUCAAGUCAAUCACAUCAUUCUCCAAUGAUGUGAUCCCGUUAAUCAAAUGAAAACUCAUGUCUAUGGUCAGGAAAUAUAACCAUCAUUAAUUCAACGAGCUAGUCAAGUAGAGGCAUACUAGUGACACUCUGUUUGUCUAUGUAUUCACACAUGUACUGAGUUUCCGGUUAAUAUAAUUUUAGUAUGAAUAAUAAACAUUUAUCAUGAUGUAAGGAAAUAUAAAUAACAACUUUAUUAUUGCCUUUAGGGCAUAUUUCCUUCAGUCUCCCACUUGCACUAGAGUCAAUAAUCUAGAUUACAUUGUAAUGAUUCUAACACCCAUGGAGUCUUGGUGCUGAUCAUGUUUUGCUCAUGAGAGAGGCUUAGUCAAUGGGUCUGCAACAUUCAGAUCCGUAUGUAUCUUGCAAAUCUCUAUGUCUUCCUCCUUGACUUGAUCGCGGAUGGAAUUGAAGCGUCUCUUGAUGUGCUUGGUUCUCUUGUGAAAUCUGGAUUCCUUUGCCAAGGCAAUUGCACCAGUAUUGUCACAAAAGAUUUUCAUUGGACCCGAUGCACUAGGUAUUACAUCUAGAUCAGAUAUGAAAUACUUCAUCCAGACUCCUUCAUUUGCUGCUUCUGAAGCAGCUAUGUACUCUGCUUCAC